UAGUCGUUGAGUGGGGGAUAACGCUGGGAAACUGGCGCUAAUACCACAUGAGGUCCUUUGAAGAGAUGAGAAGGAAGAAAGCAGCAAUGCGCUCGAUGAGGGGCCUGCGUCCGAUUAGCUAGUUGGUGUGGUAAGAGCGCACCAAGGCGUCGAUCGGUAGCCGGUCUGAGAGGAUGGUCAGCCACACUGGGACUGAGACACGGCCCAG
rnacentral:rRNA from 1 species